rnacentral:rRNA from 1 species
UACGUAGGGUGCAAGCGUUGUCCGGAAUUAUUGGGCGUAAAGAGCUCGUAGGCGGUUUGUCGCGUCUGCUGUGAAAACUCGGGGCUUAACUCCGGGCCUGCAGUGGGUACGGGCAGACUAGAGUGCGGUAGGGGAGAUUGGAAUUCCUGGUGUAGCGGUGGAAUGCGCAGAUAUCAGGAGGAACACCAAUGGCGAAGGCAGAUCUCUGGGCCAUUACUGACACUGAGAAGCGAAAGCAUGGGGAGCGAACAGG